UCCUACGGGAGGAAGCAGUGAGGAAUAUUGGUCAAUGGUCGGGAGACUGAACCAGCCAAGCCGCGUGAGGGAUGAAGGUACAGAGUAUCGUAAACCUCUUUUGUCAGGGAACAAAGGCGGGGACGUGUCCCCGGAUGAGUGUACCUGAAGAAAAAGCAUCGGCUAACUCCGUGCCAGCAGCCGCGGUAAUACGGAGGAUGCGAGCGUUAUCCGGAUUUAUUGGGUUUAAAGGGUGCGCAGGCGGUCUGUUAAGUCAGCGGUCAAAGCCCGGGGCUCAACCCCGGCCCGCCGUUGAAACUGGCAGC
rnacentral:rRNA from 1 species